AUUGAACGCUGGCGGCAGGCCUAACACAUGCAAGUCGAGCGAGCGGCGGACGGGUGAGUAUUGUAUGGGGACUGCCGGAUAGAGGGGGAGAACUACUGGAAAAGGUGGCUAAUACCGCAUACUAUCGAAUAUCCCAUAUGGGAUUAGCUAGUAGGUGAGGUAAUGGCUAACAUAGGGGACGAUCCCUAGCUGGUCUGCGAGGAUGAUCAGCCACACUGGGACUGAGACACGGCCCAGACUCCAACGGAGGCAGCAGUGGGGAAUAUUGGACAAUGGGCGCAAGCCUGAUGCAGCCCUGCCGGGUGGAUGAAGAAGGCCCUAGGUUUGUAAAGUACUUUCAGUCGGGAGGCGUUACCGAAAGAGGAAGCAACGGCUAACUCCGUGCCAGCAGCCGCGGUAAUUC
rnacentral:rRNA from 1 species